UCCUCCUCCUCCCCCUCCUCCUGAUGCUUCCCUGUGUCUCACUCUCUAGCAGACCAGCUGUUCUGAAAUCCUCAUCUCAGGGGUGAUUCUGGGGGACCUGGAUUAAAGGUAUUGACUUAGGGUGGGGCCGGAAGCCACUGAGCAAGGAGGCAAAGGCAUCCGCAUGACAGGAUCUCACCAGGGAGUUUAGGCUGGUCUUGAACUCACUAUGUGCCCCAGGUUGGCCUUGAGCUGUGUUCCUCCUGCUUUGGCCUCUUGAGUACUGAGAUGAUAGGCAUGCACCACUGUGUCCUAAUCCCUUAAAUUUAUGACUGGCUAAAGAAGCACUGUGCUUAAUUGAGCAUCCCUAACUGGGAGAUUAUCCUGGACUAUCUAGGUGAGGACACAGUGUGACCCACACGGUCCUCAGAAGAGGGGCAGGAGACUCCGUGCUGCUGGCUCUGAACGUGGAGGAAGAACCAAGAGCCAGAGAAGCCCACCCGCUCCAGAAGCUGGAAAAGGUCGGAAAACAGAUUGUCCCAUGAGCCUUCAAAAGUACCACGCAGAGCCAGCUGACUGGACUCCAGAACUGUAGGGUAAGGAGUGUGUGUUGCUUUAAGCCACUGAGUGUGUUGCCACCUCUUACAGCAGCCACAGGGAACCGAUGUCGCAUUACAAAGGCACCAUGUUCACCGAUCCUGGCAGGAGGAGGCGAGGGUGAGCACUUUACCCGAGUCGCAGUUCACGGCCGGGCCAGGAUCUGGACCUGGUGGACUGCCCAGGAGUCCACCUUCCUAACCACUGUGUACCACGUUGAUCAUAUGCACUGUCUGUGGGGCUCACUUGGGAUUUGUAGAUAGUUUUUGUAGUCUUUUACCAAUUCUAUUUUAUAUCCCAGCAAUUUCAAGCAUCCACAAAAGUAAAGAGAGGAUCAUCCUCACCUACCUGUCACCCAGCCUCAGCCCCUGCGCCCAGACUGGAUUCACCCACCGUAAAUCUGAGAUACAGCAUCGCCUCACCGCCGUUUCUUAAGGAUGAGGAUCCUUGUAUUCCCCUAAGCCUGAAAAAGGAGAAAAGUCCAAUGAGGGGCAGGGGUCCAGGGGACAGCAGGUUUUGCGCUGCCCAGUAGUCCUCCUGUAUGGUGACUCCUUACUGUCCUGAGGUGAAGCUCACAAAUAACAGAUCUGCCUCAGUGUAGGAUAACAGACAAACCAAGAUGCUGCUCCGCCUGGGGGAAGGAGAGAAAAGGAUGCAGGCUCGUUAUAAAAUGACACUCACAAUAAAGAGAGCAGAUGAGAGGACUCACACUUACAAAUACAGAGAUGACUGGGCGGGGCUAAGCUGCAUGGCUUGCAGGGGCGGCCAGACGUGUUCCCUCCCUCAGUGAGCAAACCUGGACCACAGAGAAGCCAGCCCUGCACAGGCAGCUACCAAGAGCGGGACAGGAAUAGGGUGCAGGUGGCACAGACCCCAAAGCUUUAAGUGUGAUGUGCAUAAAAAGGCCCAGCCAGCAUUGACUUGGAAACUUUGCACCAUGGAAUUGGUUCCUAGGCUCACGAGCUGUUGUAGUGCCAACCACGGACUCCUACUGAGUAGAUGCUGACAGUCCCUGUGUGAUGCCAGGCAUCCGGCGUGCGCUCUUGGAGGGAUCGAGUCCUCCAUGGCUCCUGCGAGGAAGGGAGCUGCAGCCUGCAGAACCAAGGCCCCGCGGGCUCAGGGGCACAGUGGUUUCCAGAUCUCACCAAGCCACCAGGAAAGGAUCUUUGGAUUUUAUACUUAUUUCAGAUUCUUUAAAAGAAAGCUCUGGCCCUUCUGAAAGGAAGAGACAGAAAAGGUCACCUAAGGGUGCAGGAGGGCUUGCCAUAGGGCUGGGGAACAUCGGGAGCUUGGUUUUCUCCUGUUGAACGCAGUCCUGACAGCUAAGGAGCUGUCAGCAGGGGGCUUUGGGGUGCAGCACGUUCCGUAAGGGUUUUACAGUGUCCGGAGUAAAACUGAUGUAAAAUUCUCAAAAAUAGUCCGAAGACAUGAACCUCCUCAAACCAGGAAGCUGUGAACAGCCCCGCCAGUCCUCCAGCGAGGGAACAGAUGGACAAACUAUUCAUGGCCCCGUGGAAAGCUGCUCAGUUGUACCGAGGAAGGGGUCCUCAAGGCGUCGUGCCCUCAUGAUCCCAUUUAUAUGUGAUCCUCAGAAAGACAAAACUACAGUGAUGGAGAAGGAUUGGCCCUUGCCAAGGGCUGACUCCUAUCCCCAGGGAAGGUUUAGGGUGUUUGGGCGUGGCAAGGCCAGAGCUGGGUGUGGCGAGGGGCAGUGUGGACUCAGGUGGAGAGGUGGGCAGGGCCGGUGGCUCAGAGCCCUGUGGUCUUGGUGGGGACCUGGGUCUCUAUCUGGGCAUGGGAUGGGCAGCGCUGGGCAUUUUAUUCUUACUGCUGGGGCCUCCCACCUCUUCUCUAGCUGGAACCUUCUGGCACAAACAAAGCAGUGAUGGUGACUAAUUUCCCAUCGACUGUGGCAGCCCUUGGAAUUAUGCUGACCCCUCCCCAGGUUCUCUUCUUGAACCCAAGUCUCUGCCUUCUGUUGGCCUGUCCAGACUGACAGCCCGGCCCUCAACUCAGCCGCUCAAUUUCCUGUGCAUUCUUAAAAUUACCAAAGCACAGACCAGGUGCAGUUAUCAGCCUUUUUGUGGAUCUGCACAGAAAAGGAUCCAGCAAAGCAAAGCAAACAAUUGUGGUGCCUUGAUUGUAUCAGCCCACACAGUGAAGCAAAGGCCAGGCGGUUUCCUGGCUGACAGGUGACAUUUCAUUCCGUGUGUGGGACAGUGAGUUUCCAGGGCAACAGUAACAACCCUGGUGCUGGGGCUGGAGGGCUCGCAGGGUCUGUGCCGGGAGGUGCGUGGGCACCGGCACUGUUCUAGCAGCAGGCGUUUAUUGGGCACUUACUGUGAGCCAGCAUGGCUCUGGGCACCUCACGGGUGUCAUCUCACCAGUCCUCGUGAUGGCCCUGCCGAGGGUCACUCUAUUGCUCCCUGCACACGGAGGAAGCUGCCCGGAGCAGACACCCUGCACGGAACACGCUGCCUCGGGCCAUGCAAAGCGUGAGCAGGAAGCCCCACAAGGUGCUUUUCACUGAUUGUGAGAACCUGGAUUUCAGCUCUUUGAUUGAUGGGCUCAAUCAAACAGUAACUGGAGAGACUGGGAACCUGGUUUUUAUAAUUUCAGCACUUGAUUUUCUGCCUUAGUCGGCUGCAAUGAGGGAGGCCCACAAUAACCUGAGACUACUUGGUGUCUCACAAACUGUGUGACCAGUAACAAAACCUUCCUCGGACUAAAAUCCCGUUCUGUGUGUGCCUGCACACGUGUGCUCAUGUGCGUAUGCACAUGCAUGUUGGUGUACACAUACCUGCACAAACAGCACACAUAUUGGCACACAUAUGUGGGAACACAUGGCAUGUAGGUCUGUGACAAUACUGUAUACAAACACACACAUAUGUGUGUUAUAGAAGAGCAGGGCUCUGGAGUCAGAUGGCCAGAUUUUCACCCUGGGCCAGCUAGCCACUAACCCACCACCAUGGCCUAGUGACUCUGUGCCCCGCUCUGUCCCAAGGUGUCAGUCAGAGACCCCCAGCCACUUUAGAGGAUCAUGUACGAUGAAGUUAACUGGCCAAAGUGGAGGUCUCAGGAGGGGCCUGGCUUAGGCGGGUGCUGAACAAGCAUCCCUGUCUUUCUGCACAUAGGUGGCCAGGCUCUCGAAGACCCAGCUGUGUACUGGGGUGACUGCUGGGUGAGCCCUUCCCCUCCACAGCUGCCGCUAUGGUCACAGGGGAGAAGCAUCCCGGCCCAUGGCUGACUCCCCAGGGGACUGUAAAGAGGUGCAUGAUUUCUGUGUGGCUUGGUUUUCUCUGGAGAAUGGGGACAAUAUUUCUACUUCUCCUCUGAGGUUAAGGGAAAGCUUUUCCUAAAAAGCUUACUUAGGACAUGGUGGAGACCACAGUCAGUGCUGCCCUGGUUACAAUUGCUAAUGUUGUCUGUUUAGACACUGUCACUUGACAGAGUCCAAGGAGUCCCCUAAAGGGCAGGUCAGUUCAUCCUACUUAUGGGCAGGAUGUAGGUUUUCUGGCUUACAACACAGAAAAGAAUUGCAGGAGGCAUAGAAAGGUCGAUCAGACAGAAUCACAGAAAUCCACACUCAGAGAGAAUGGGGUGUGGGUGCUCAUGGGGCACAGUAUGGUCUGGGGCUGGGGGUUGUUAUGUGGUCUUGGGCUGACUGAGAGACAUGUCGGAUGCGUGUCCUUCUGCCUGUCAGGUCACACGCAGGGGCUGGGUUGCAAACCAUUUGCGCACUCUCUGGAGUUUACUGGCCCGCUGCUUACUCAUUAGUGCUGCUUCCUUGAGGAUGGAGGGCUGUGGCGGGAAGCAACCUCAGGCUCAAUCUAUAGAUGAAAAGCAAUUUACAGGUUUGUUGUGUUCAGCGCUAUAUAUAUAUAUAUAUAUAUAUUUUUUUUUUUUUCUGGAAGGGAAAAAGGCUUUAUAACCUUGAGUAACUUUGAUUGCAUCCUGAAGCUGUUUUCCUUAAAAGUGCAAUUUUAAAAUUAUGACUUUCCUUGUCCCAUUUCCUCCUUCCUCUAUUUCUUUUUUCCCACUUUAAUUCUGAAGGUUAUUGGCUAACAUGCUAACCUCAAUCCUACCUCGGGGCUUUUGCCCUUGAAGCUCCCCUCCCACAUCCUCCUGGCAGCUAGGCUGCCUCUUCUGGGGAGCCUCCAAACCUGCCCUUGGGCCCAUGCCUAGGAUCACCCUCCCAGCCCACACUUUCUUCUUAGCCUUCAAAAAAAGCCUCGAGUCCCCCACCAAGAAUUUUGUCUGGUCCUGCCCUGGGCAGAAUUCAUCGCCCUCCCCUCUAAUGGAAAUGCAUGCCUCCCUUCCCAUCAGUACAUCUCAGUGUAGGCGUGUGUCCCAUAGAAACCACAGCUCCAAAAAUAUUAUAUACUCUUUGAAUAAUAAGUACUCAGGGAUAUUUAUUCUAGUGCAGAUGACAGUUGAUCAUAGUUGAUUAUAGAAUCUGAAAAAAUUCUGAGGACUGCACUGUCAUUUUGCAAUUUUGUCAUUAUGCAGAAUGUAUUUACACCACAGCAUCACUAGGUGAGAUAAUCUCACGGGGCUGGUGUGGGGCCUCCAAAUGAAAAGGGAAACCAGUGUAACUCCCAACCUCCCAGAGGUCUGAUACCUGGAGUUCAUUUUCCCCAAAACUGAAGAAUAAAUUUGGGCCAACAAUGGAGAUAAACAGUGGAAAUACAGAGAGGGGGGAAUACAGCUCCUGAGAGAGCCAGCAGGGGACCUGAGUGGGUUACCGAGGACCCUACUUUUCAGGGAAAGUUUUAUAGAAUACAGUCAGGUGGACACAAUGUGGUUAAAGCUAUGAUCAAUCACUAAGAUGAUAAAUACAGCCUCUUAAGGUAAUACUGACCCAGUAAGGAAGCAAGUCACAUAGCGGGUGUUCAUGGAAAGAAAUAGAACUGUUUAGGAAGAAGUGGUCCAGGGGUCUUGGUCACCCACCGCGGUGACUGAUGUCUACCUAGACUUUACUGGACCAGGUGUUACCCCUUAUCCCUUAGGAGACUGUGUAAGGCCUGGUCAUUCUGUCCUUAUUUGAGAUCUGGCCUCUAAUAGAUGCCAGUCACAGUUGUAAUGAGUUUUAAUCUCUGGGUUGACUUUUGAGGGCCCAGCCCUGUCCACCUGCCUAUAACAUUUCGACCUAACUUAGCUGUCUAUGGUACCAGCAGCGCCCAGCAGCUGAGCUGUCAGGUUUAAUUGCAGGUGGCACCUUGCAAUAAAGAAGUGGGUUUAGGGCUGCAGUUGGGUACUCGUCUCUAAAAGUUUCGCCAUCCCUGGUCUGGAUAACACACAGACGUUGGCCCCAAGGGUAAGUCUCAGGAGAGAAGCAGCGAGCCUGGCGUUGUCUAGUGUCCCCCUGUCUCCCCUCCCUCUCUUCCUUACUGUAAAUGGCCUUUGCCCACCUGGACUGGAAAACAUGAGACUGUGGCACCUCCUUGGAAGCAGCUUGACUAAAGAGCUCUUCCUUUUCACCAACAUGAGUGGGCACCUUUGUGUUGGUCUGUGGUGAGCACAGAUCUGAGUGGCCAGGGACGCUUGGACUGGUCUGGCGACAAUCGCUGGUCAGUGAGUGGCAGCUGAUGGGCCACAGAGCUCAGGAGAGCUCCACCCCGUGCAGAAUCCCUUUCCAUUUUGCAUGAAUGCCAAAGGUCCUUCUGGACGGUCCUAUCAGAAAACCGUAUUUGUAAUAAUUAGAGCUCCAAGUGAAAAAUCCAUUUGGCAUGGAAUCGAUGGUAUAUUUUGUCCUGUUUAGGUGGGCUCCUCAGUUUCCUGGGGUGGCAAGCACGGAGCAAAUCAAUUGUGUUGGUUUUCUUCAAAACUUUACCAGUGGUGACAGCGCCAGCAGCACUGUGCCUCGGGACAUUUGAACCUCCCGCAUGCUGCUUGUAGCGCUAAAUGAGGUCUUUGGUACAGCAUGCUUAGCAAUUUCUUACUGAAAAUUACUUCACAGGCAUCACUUUCCUUACAUUUCCCUUCGUAUUAUAGUUAGGGCACUAAAUUGAAUUUUUUUAAAAAGACAUGUAGGAAGGUUAUAUUGUCUACGAGCUUCAUUUCAUUUCAAAUUUCAGCUAACGUGGAAAUGAGAACAUACUACUUUAAAAAGGUGCCACUGGUCUAAUGGAGUUGGGAGGCACACUUGUGACACUUGGGUACAGCCUUUCCCCAGGGAACCUGCAGCCUCAUUUAAAGAAGCUUUUGAGCCUUUUCUUAAACCACGCCGGGAUUUUUACCCCCAAGAGGAUCUCCCCUUCCCUUCUCAUGGUCGAGGCCUCCUUUGCCAAGACUCCUCUUAAAACUCUGCUGGAGACCAGUGUCAUUUUGAUCCUGCCUUACUUGGGCUGUCUAGAGUCCCCUGGAAUUGUCCCUGCAAGUGUAAGUGCGGCUGUCUGACUUGAGUUUGCUUCACACACAGUUGGGGCUGUUGCCAGAUUUAGGCCACUGCCUGGUGGGCAAAGAGUUUGUUCCUCCAUAGGAAACAGAUCAGUAAUCAACAAACAAACACAUUAAAGAAAAAAGAGCAGAAAGCUUAGUCAUGCAAAUCAAGGCAGAGCAGAGAGGGAAAAGAAAAGACCUCAUUCAUAUUCGGCAGGGGCCCUGGCCCCUCAGCCCACUGCUAUGAAAACACUGGCCCAGGCGGCCACUGGCACAUUCAUAACGGUUUGUCCCCAGCGGAGUAAACACCAGCGUUCCCAGGACACAGAGGCAGGGAACUAGCUGGAGGUUAACUGGGUCAUUAGCCGCCUUAUAAUGUGGGUCAUUCCGAUGCAAUUCAGUCCCUUCUGCUGGAUGCUGAAAUGCAGGGAGGGUUCUCACAGGGGGCCCACCGGUGACUUUGCAGCCUGCUCAGGUCUCUUGGAUACCAGGGGAGCUGUCAUUGUGAUUCAUGGCACCUCUGACAUCACCGGGCUCUAGGGAUGUAUGUGUGGUUCUGAGGGCUGCAGAAUGGGACAUGCGGCGACACAAGUACCCAAGACAAAGUUGGAACUAGCUGGCAAAGGUCUCAGUGCUGAGGCCCCUGCUGGUCUGCAGACCCUCCUCAAGUGAUGCUGUGUGUCAUUCCUGAGUCUUCAUUGCGGUCCUCAAACUGAGUCCAAAGAAGGGAGGGACCUCUCAGAAAUCGGAAGGUGGGAAGAAACGACAGGAGCGGGGAGCAGGAGGGCAGCUGCAGCCCUGGCUACGCACGGCUCUGGUUCUGCGUGAAGCCAGGGACACCCAGAUGGAGAGGGCGACGUCCAGCUGUGCACAUCUGGGCUCUGUCCAGAAAAUGGACCGGAAUGGCCACUGUGGCUCCGGAGCAGAGCUUCUCUCCCUCAGCUCUGGUGACAGUUUGGGCACCAUAAAUCUGUUUGGGGAACUGUCCUGUGCGUGGUAGGAGGUUUAAGCUGCAUCCUUGACCUCAGGCCCCAUGCCAGUGGCCCACACCCCAGCGUUACCACGACCAAAACUGUCUGCAGACAUUACCAAGUGUGCCCUGGGGAGCAACCCCCGUGGGCUCUCAAGGGUUGGCCCAGCCUGUGCCUGCAGUUCUGGGGGCCUCACAGCUGACUGAGCAGGCGUCAGAUGAGCUUUAUCUGGCUAACCGCAUCCUCAAGCAGCCACUCUGGACUGUAACCAUCUGACACCUGCGAUUUCCCAGCCUGGUUACGUGAGCUAAGAAACCAGGACCAGGCGCAGCAGCAGGCUCAGGGCUGCUCCAGGUCAACCCUGCAUGCUCAGUGUCACUGCUGAGGGCCAUCUUUGCCUCCUCUGAGUGACUAAAGACUUGCUGCCUCAGGGCUGGUUUGCAGCCACUGAACAGGCUCCCAGAACAUUAGACUGAACACUCUGGGGCCUGUGAAGUUGUCACUCACUGGACCAUUUGCUGCCAGUUGGGCCCAGGCUGGCGUUUGUCUUUUAGUGUUUCUCAGAGACAUUGGCUUUGAAAACAACAAUCAUAGAUGCUCUUGGGACAAUUAAUUGCCAAUAUUUGCUACUGCCUUGAGACCCACGUCAUAGUGAGAGCCUGAAAUUCACUUAGGAAUGUGUCCCACAGGUGGCACCUGCCUGUCAUGUCUAGAACAGGGCUCUCCUUGCCUGUGAUGUGCUUGGGUCACAGAGCAAGCCCCAUGUAUCCACCUGCUUUCACAAAGAGCUGUAGACUCUGCCUAGGGGAACACUGACCAGGAAGGUCAGUGUACUCACUGUAGUGACAGGAUUUGGACAUCACAGAGCCAGUGCAGGGCUGACCAGUGGAAUCAGUGAGUAGGACCUGGGAAGGCCUCCAAGCUCAUCAGCCUGACCAGAGCAAAUUGGCCUGUUUAGCCCCCCGAAAACAGUGUGUCAGCUCCUCCACUAGGCCUCCCAUGCAUCUCCUGUUCAUUCUGGAAACCAGUGCCCCCAGGACCACUGGCCUGGCUGCAUCCACGCUGGGCCUGUUGAUCCAGCUCUUCUCCCUGACUCUUCCUGCAUCUGGAUGCAUAGAAGUGAACCCAGCACCCAGAAAGAACGAGGGAUUAUCUGUGUUGUCAUCAUCAGUGUUAACGCUACUGUGUCACGGAGGUCACAUCGGAGGAGCCUGUGCAUGCCAUGGUCAUGCUUUGUCCACCUGCCCACAAGGAACACAGUGGCGGGCACCUUCUUGUCCUAGCAUGAGUCUCAUCUGCUUUCUGGGUUCUGACCCAGGACUAGGAGAGUCCUGUGGAUCAUCAUCCCCUGAAACCCCUCACCUACCUCCGACAGUUUAAACUGGUCACACUAGGUCUUCUGCUGGAGAGUUAUGUUUAUGACCAGCUUAUGAUCCAUUGAUUAACUGUGGAUUCUUUUCACAUGUGGGAUCCUGGGGUCUGGAUCUGAAGGGCUUCGUGUGAACAAUGUUUGGGUGAGGCUGAGCUAGAGGCAGGAGGGGCUUCCAGGACAGCCUGUAAGGGGCUGCCACAGCUCCUGGUGAGGGUCUACGGGACGAUGUCAUUCAGGGCAGGCCCGUGGUCUGGCCCCAGAGGCAGAACAAGAACAGGAAGAGGCUGCUCAUAGCUGGGGCCACAGCCCCUAGAUCGGAGCCACCUUAAAUACCCAGCACAUGCAGGCUGAGCGUCAGCCCUUAGGGAGGAUGGGAGACCCCGGGUUCAGUACCUCUGAGGUUCAGGCCUUUCCAGGCAGAAGUGCACCCUAUCCUGAGCUGAACAUGGUGCCUGUGGGGGCUGGGCCUGCACAAGCUGACUACAGGAUGGAGGAAGGAUACAGAGAGCUGCCUUGGUCAGAUAAGAGCCAUGAGGACCUUGGCAAUGUGAACAAACUUCAGGUGAGAGGAAUGCUGGGUCAGGAUUGGACACUCAGGCUUUGCAUUGUCUGCUCAGAUAAGCCACAAGGUGUGUCCACGAAAGGCACACUGUGACCCUCUGUGGCCCCAACUCCGGAGUCCAUCAGAGCAGGGAUAGCAUUUGCAGCCACCAUCCAGAGAGGGACUCCAAGACCAACUUAGAAACAAACUAACCCACAAGAAAUCAGCACAAUUAUAUGUGAAAACAGUGAAUCAGGGUCCUGUUCAGUAGGAAUGUCUUAUCAACCCAUGAUGAGUGUCUACAGGCUUUAAAGCUAUGUGGACUCAUCCUUCCAGAAGGAGACACUAUGGUGACCACAGUGUACUUGGCCUCUUAAAUGCCCAUUCAGGGCAGAGCAGCUCCUUCCAAAUAGUACAGGCGCUUGUGAAAGAAAAGUCAUCCAUUGGGGAUACGCUGUACGGGGCAGCUCAGGAUGAAGCAUUAGCAGAAACACGGAGCCUUAGUAUCACGUAAGAAUGAGCUUAGGACCAUGCCAGCUGGGUGCUUAAACCAAGGAGCUGCGUGACAUGUUAGUCCUAAAAUAUUACCCAGCAAUCUUCUGUCUGUCUGGUACAAAGAAAUGGCAGACAGAAACAUGGCCAGCAGGUCUGCUCUCCACCGACAACCACCAGGGAUCCCCAUCACCACCCUGGCCAAUUGGUGGAGCUGGAGAACCAGUGGAACUGGACCUCUUGGAAGCCCAGAGCUUCACAGUCCUGCCCCAGAACAGACUUGCUUAGCAUUAUAGCAAAAAGAGAAGACAGGGUGUUUGUCCAUCAGUGGAGGACGGUUGAAGCCGAUGGUUGUAUAUCGAGGGAGUAGAAUAUUUUGUAGCCAGGAACACUGGCGUCAGCAGCCUGGGGCGGGAGGCAGUGUGUCUGUCCUCGGGAGCAGACAUCAAGGAGAAACCGAAGAGCACGGCUGGGCUGAACCCUGUGUAAGAAACCACCGAGGCUUUGUAUGUGUGCAGAGAAUCCUGGAGCCGCAGGUUAUUUUCUGUUUGUAAGGAAUAUUUCUAAACUCCCUGUGACCUUUUAAACUCAGACAAUAAGUGAGCAAAAUUGAAGUAAAGAGAUCACAGAGGAAGCGAGGUCUGAGGUGGGAAGCCUGGCCGUCUUCUCAGCCUUCUGAGCCCCUGGACUCUGCCUUCUUCCUCCUGACACCCCCAGGGCAGGGACCCUGCGUCCUGGUGGCGCCAGGACACAGUCAGGGCUCAAUCGAUAACUGAUGACAACAAAGACCCCCAAAGGCAUCUGUUCCCCUCAGGCUUUGGGGCAGUUGCUUAAUGCAUUGUAUUGGUUUUUUAAAGUUUUCUCAUUUUUAAAUGUUGACAAUCAAACAAACCACGGGAGAGCUAUCACUUGCUGAGAGCCAGAGAAGAGAAAACAAGUGGAUGAGGCACCUCCGGAGCCUGGGCCUGGUCAGAGGGAGCUGCCCCUGCCCCUGUGUCCUUCGCUGGCCAAGGUGGUGCUCUCUGAGGACUGGCCACAGCAGGCUCUGGGAGCCAGGACAGGAGGGAACUGAUGUCCCUGCUCUCACUUUCCCCUGGAGGACAAGCUGUAGGCAUCAGAUCAGCGAUUGCAGGAGGCCGUGGCGGUGAUGGUCACUAUAAAGGACAAUAAGGGUGAAGGGCAAGGCCAGGCAGGGGUUCAGGAAGGGCCACCCCGGAGGAAGAGUGUGUCAAGGACAGCCAUGCAAAGGCCCUGGGGGCAGAUCUAGGUGAUCCUCAGUGAGGCUGGAGAUGGUGAACAAGGGGCAAGUAAAAAGAGAGGCCACAAAACAGUGGCCCUCCUGGCCCCCGGACACUGCAAGGCUCUUCAGCCAGCAGGGGGAGGUAGUGAGGAAACACAGGACUUGGGGUCCUGUCCUCAGGAGGGCGGGCUGCGGUGCAGAGCUGGUCCUCAUGGGACCAGCCCAGCAGCAGCAGCAACGCUGCCUCGGCCGGGUUAAAAAUGCUGAUUCUUGGCUCUGAUUCUGCUUCAGAUGAUGACGGUACCCUGGGGCCCAGCUGUGAGCUCUCCCAAGCCCCCAGGGGAUCCUGAUGCCAGGGUGUGAGAAACACAGCGGAGCUGACCACUCUUGUGGUCUCUGAGGAGGCUGGAGGAGCUCUGGUAGAAAUGUAGGAGGGGCCGGGUCACCAUCCCAGGAGCCAUGUGAGUGGGUGGCCAUGGUGGGGACUGGCGUUGGCAUCUCCUCAAAGUGUUCCUGGAGGCUCCAUCGUGGAGAAGUGGCUUCUGAGUGGGGUGACCUGCAGAUGCUGGUGACUUGGGGGAGAGGAGCAGCCUCAGCUGGAGAGAGAGGCAUAAGCCCCAGUGGCCCCAGUCUUCGGAGUUGUCUGCUGUGUACCCAUUCCACAGGCCUGGGCGCUCGGGGACUGAACUGGGAUGGGUGCCAGAGGAGGGAGAGGAGAGGAGGUGAGAAAGGAGGCCAGGGGAGGUCAGCACCUCUGGGUCCUGGGCUGGAGUUUGCCUUUGGUGAAAGGGAAGGAGGGCAGGAGGAGGUGGAGAGGGAGGACGGGAAGCAUGACUGCCCGGGAAGGCAGCCGUAGGGCCGGGUGGAGCGUGAGGCCGGGGAAGCCCAGAGACCUCAGGGUGGGGACACUUACCAGGGAGGAGGGUCCGUUCAUACUGCAGAGGUGACCGUGAGGGCCCCUUGCCUGCUGCCCGGGGAAACCCUCUGGACACCGUGGGUGCCUGCUCAGGUUUUCCUCCUGUUAAGUGGCAGCCUGGCGCCUGUCAGGGACUCCAGCAAGGUUUAAAGUUCCGAUGCCCACGCUGGGUCCCAGAUCUCUCAAGUCAGAGCCCGGGGUGCAGCGCCCAGGCAUCGGUGUCUUCAGUGCACCUCAGGGACCCAAAGUGCCCCCAGGAUGGGGCGCACUGAUUCCUGCUCAUGAGAAUUUCAGGACCAUGGUGUGAUAAACAGGCUGCAGAAAACCCGAGCAGCCCCA